rnacentral:ncRNA from 1 species
AAAGUAGGGGAGCUUGUUUGACAGGCUGAGAGGAAGCUCAAAGCUUCGACCCUUGAACCUGAUGCGGAUAAUGCCGAUGCAGGAAACUUAUUAUUUU